CGUGGGCAACCUGCCUGUAAGACUGGGAUAACUUCGGGAAACCGGAGCUAAUACCGGAUAAUGCACAGCCUCUCAUGAGGCUAUGCUGAAAGAUGGUUUCGGCUAUCACUUACAGAUGGGCCCGCGGCGCAUUAGCUAGUUGGUGAGGUAACGGCUCACCAAGGCAACGAUGCGUAGCCGACCUGAGAGGGUGAUCGGCCACACUGGGACUGAGACACGGCCCAGACUCCUACGGGAGGCA
rnacentral:rRNA from 1 species